rnacentral:rRNA from 1 species
UACGUAGGGUGCAAGCGUUGUCCGGAAUUAUUGGGCGUAAAGAGCUUGUAGGCGGUUUGUCGGGUCUGCUGUGAAAUUUCGGGGCUCAACCCCGAACUUGCAGUGGGUACGGGCAGACUAGAGUGUGGUAGGGGAGACUGGAAUUCCUGGUGUAGCGGUGAAAUGCGCAGAUAUCAGGAGGAACACCGAUGGCGAAGGCAGGUCUCUGGGCCAUAACUGACGCUGAGAAGCGAAAGCAUGGGGAGCGAACAGG